UACAGAGGUCCCAAGCGUUGUUCGGAUUCAUUGGGCGUAAAGGGCGCGUAGGUGGCCCGGUCAGUUCGUGGUGAAAGCGCGGGGCUCAACCCUGCGUCGGCCAUGAAUACUGCCGCGGCUGGAGCACUGUAGAGGCAGGCGGAAUUCCGGGUGUAGCGGUGGAAUGCGUAGAGAUCCGGAAGAACACCGGUGGCGAAGGCGGGUCUGCUGGGCAGUUGCUGGACACUGAGGCGCGACAGCGUGGGGAGCAAACA
rnacentral:rRNA from 1 species